rnacentral:rRNA from 1 species
GAUGAACGCUGGCGGCGUGCCUAAUACAUGCAAGUCGAGCGAACAGACGAGGAGCCUGCUCCUCUGACGUUAGCGGCGGACGGGUGAGUAACACGUGGAUAACCUACCUAUAAGACUGGGAUAACUUCGGGAAACCGGAGCUAAUACCGGAUAAUAUAUUGAACCGCAUGGUUCAAUAGUGAAAGAUGGUUUUGCUGUCACUUAUAGAUGGAUCCGCGCCGCAUUAGCUAGUUGGUAAGGCAACGGCUUACCAAGGCAACGAUGCGUAGCCGACCUGAGAGGGUGAUCGGCCACACUGGAACUGAGACACGGUCCAGACUCCUACGGGAGGCAGCAGUAGGGAAUCUUCCGCAAUGGGCGAAAGCUUGACGGAGCAACGCCGCGUGAGUGAUGAAGGUCUUCGGAUCGUAAAACUCUGUUAUUAGGGAAGAACAAAUGUGUAAGUAACUAUGCACGUCUUGACGGUACCUAAUCAGAAAGCCACGGCUAACUACGUG